GGUGCUGGAUUGGCCACCCCACAGACCAAUCGGGGACAGAACGUCGAUGGUGCGGGGGCUGCCGACGCCUUUGGGAAUGGUGAACCUGCAGCUUGACACUUCACCUCUGCUGUAACAGUAUCACUGUUUCUCAUGUCAGAAGAGACACAGACAAGGAGUUUUUCCCUUUUAAAUGCUAAACAAGUGCCACUAAUCCACAGAUCUGAAAAAGUACAGCUCUCCAGGUUGAUAAAUCAGAUUCCAGGCUUUUUCUUGUCAGUCCGCUUAUGAGAUCACGAAUAUGAUCUCCCUAAAGCCCCAGAUUCCUACUAGAGCCGCUGGGGACACUGAUGACAAAGCAAUCAACUCAUCUCCUCAAGCUCACCAGGGCUCACCUUCCCAAGGCCAGCAAUCAUUGGGGUGUUCUCUGUCCUGUAAGAAACAAGGGAUUAAGCAAGAAUAAACAAAUGUCUCAGGAAGGAAUCCUGUCUCCAUGAAAGUCAUUGUGUUAAAAUAAAAUCAAACUCACGCUACAUCUUUCCUAAGCACGCGCCAUGUGGCUAUCUCAAUGGCAGCUGCAGGCCCCAGAAACCUCCCCUGCCAAGUUUUCACUUGCCCUGGCCCAGUGAAGGUCAACGAGGCCCACUGUGGGUGAUGUGUUGGGUGUUCACUGUGACAGUUCUAUCUGGACCCUUUUCCUACCCAAAGCAAGCACUCUGCCUCCUGUAGGCCCCAAGGCACAGCUCUCUUUAGUCCUCACUGCCAAAUCAGUAUAGUAUGGAACAGGGGAGAACCCUUUGUUCUCAACAUUUCAGGCAUCAGCAAACAAGAGGGGUGUGUGUGUGUGUGUAUGUGUGCAAGCGCGUGUGGGUGUGCACACACACAGGAGAUGGGCAAGAGACCCCUAAAGACAAUGGCUUGCAUACUCUGACCUAACAAACCGAAAAACAGAACUCAUUACCCUAUUUUCAGGAAAAAAAAAUUAACUUAAUAAUUAAUUUCUUAAUUUUUUUUUAGAUGGGGUCUCGUUCUGUUGCCCAGGCUGGAGUGCAGUGGAUCUCGACUCACUGCAUCCUCCACCUGCCGGGUUCAAGUGAUUCUCCUGCCUCAGCUUCCUGAGUAUCUGGGAUUACAGGCAUGUGCCGCCAUGCCCAGCUAAUUUUUGUAAAGACAGGGUUUCACCAUGUUGGUCAGGCUGGUCUCGAACUCCUGACCUCGUGAUCCAGCCACCUCGGCCUCCCAAAGUGCUGGGAUCACAGGUGUAAGCCACUGCGCCCGGCCCAUUAAUUUCUUAAGUUUGCCUGAACAAAGUUUUCUUAAACCUCUGGACUCGGCUAUUGCUUGUUUACCAAUAGAUAUUUUCUCUGCACCCUCACCAGCAUUUGGUGGUGUCUCUAUUCUUAUUUUAGCCAUUCUGAUAGGUGUUAGUGAUAUCUGGUGGUUUUAAUUUGCAUUCCCCCAAUAACUAAUGCUGUUGAACAUCUUUUCCUGUGCUUAUUACCUGGGUCUCCUCUUUGGUGAAAUGUCUGUUU
rnacentral:lncRNA from 10 species